rnacentral:rRNA from 1 species
UACGGAGGAGGCAAGCGUUAUCCGGAAUUAUUGGGCGUAAAGCGUCCGCAGGUGGCACUUCAAGUCUGUCGUCAAAGACUGGGGCUUAACCCUGGAAAGGCGGUGGAAACUGAAGCGCUAGAGUGCGGUAGGGGUAGAGGGAAUUCCCGGUGUAGCGGUGAAGUGCGUAGAGAUCGGGAAGAACAUCGGUGGCGAAAGCGCUCUACUGGACCGCAACUGACACUCAGGGACGAAAGCUAGGGGAGCGAAUGGG